rnacentral:rRNA from 1 species
UACGUAGGGGGCAAGCGUUGUCCGGAUUUAUUGGGCGUAAAGAGCGUGUAGGCGGUCAGGUAGGUCCGUUGUGAAAACUCGAGGCUCAACCUCGAGACGCCGAUGGAAACCCCCUGACUAGAGUCCGGAAGAGGAGAGUGGAAUUCCUGGUGUAGCGGUGAAAUGCGCAGAUAUCAGGAAGAACACCCGUGGCUAAGGCGGCUCUCUAGUACGGUACUGACGCUGAGACGCGAAAGCGUGGGGAGCGAACAGG